UACGGAGGGUGCAAACGUUGCUCGGAAUCAUUGGGCGUAAAGCGCACGUAGGUGGCCUGUUAAGUCGGGUGUGAAAUCCCUGGGCUCAACCCAGGAAGUGCACUCGAAACUGGUAGGCUUGAGUACUGAAGAGGGUCGCGGAAUUCCCGGUGUAGAGGUGAAAUUCGUAGAUAUCGGGAGGAACACCAGUGGCGAAGGCGGCGACCUGGGCAGAUACUGACACUGAGGUGCGAAAGCGUGGGGAGCAAACAGG
rnacentral:rRNA from 1 species